GUUCUAAAAUCUAUGUGCAAAGUUGUUGAAAAUAAGAUAUGCAAUGGCACCAGUGAAAGAGUUGUUAGUCAAUUUAAUCAAAGUCAGUAAUUGAGUCAAUGUGAGAGGUGGUCACCAUCUAUCCUGGCACAUCAAAAAUGGCAGUGAAAAGGCAUGGGUAAUGAAAGAGCUCUUGUGGAAGUGCAGUAUUUGUUAAUGGAUAUAGUGCCAAGAGCAAUGGAGGAGAAAGUGUUAGAGGAGAUCAUGAGAUUUUAUGCCUCAGUGACAGGAAGAACAUCAACAGAAAUAGGAAAUUGAGAAAGAACACUUUGCUUGUGGGAAUGAAAACUACUCGACAAUUAUGACUGGAUUUUUUUUUUGUCUCAAGACUUUAGUACAGUGCCUGGAAUACAAUAGUCAAGGCAGAGCAGAACUACACUCAAGCCUUAUCUAAUUGGAAUCCCACAGGAUUAUGGACAAUCCUGAAAGAUUAAUUAGGAGACAGAACUGUUGAUGUCAUCUUUCACAUGCUUUGCAGAGGGCAUGUAGCUGCUCAUUACCCUGAAACACAAAUCCUGUGUGCAAACUGGCCCUGAAUCUGUAUUCUGGGACUCAAUAAGGGACAACAAGUCUUCCAGAAAGCAGCCUUUCCCAUGCUGGUACUGUGCCACCUGUUUGCCCUGGAUGCUGUACCUGCCUACCUAACCAUAGAAUGUGCACUGGAACGAUCUUUGAACUCUUACUCUGGAAAUUCACAGUUAUAAUUGGAAAGAACUCAUUUCAUCCAAAGACAGUCAUCCUCUUAAAUUCAUUCCCCCCCCCUUGCUGCCUUUGCAUCCUCUUAAAUUCACUCCCCCCCCUUGCUGCCUUUGUACUCACCUUUCCUACUUUUUCCCUUCAAAACACAUACAUUCUCUCUCUCUCUCUCUCUCUCUCUCUCUCUCUCUCUCUCUCUCUCUCUCUCUCUCUCUCUCUCUCUCUCUC